rnacentral:rRNA from 1 species
UACGGGGGGGGCAAGCGUUGUUCGGAAUUACUGGGCGUAAAGGGCGCGUAGGCGGCGCAACAAGUCACUUGUGAAAUCUCCGGGCUUAACCCGGAGCGGCCAAGUGAUACUGUCGUGCUAGAGUGCGGAAGGGGCUACUGGAAUUCUCGGUGUAGCGGUGAAAUGCGCAGAUAUCAGGAGGAACACCGGUGGCGAAGGCGGGUCUCUGGGCCGAUACUGACGCUGAGGAGCGAAAGCGUGGGGAGCGAACAGG